GCCAGCAUCAAUAGCUUGUUGAAUGCACCAGUCCCAAAGGCCAAAGGAUCAAUAAAGUUGAGCAAUGUUGUGCUUGGUUAGUAUCUGGAGGGUAACUGUCUGGAAUAACACGUGCUGCUGACU
rfam:Asian citrus Psyllid, Diaphorina citri - Florida Strain, whole genome shotgun sequence.